CGCGGCCUAUCAGCUUGUUGGUGAGGUAACGGCUCACCAAGGCAUCGACGGGUAGCUGGUCUGAGAGGACGAUCAGCCACACUGGGACUGAGACACGGCCCAGACUCCUACGGGAGGCAGCAGUGGGGAAUCUUGCGCAAUGGGCGAAAGCCUGACGCAGCAACGCCGCGUGGGGGAAGAAGGCUCUCGGGUCGUAAACCCCUUUCAGCAGGGACGAAAAUGACGGUACCUGCAGAAGAAGGACCGGCCAACUACGUGCCAGCAGCCGCGGUAAUACGUAGGGUCCAAGCGUUGUCCGGAUUUAUUGGGCGUAAAGAGCUCGUAGGCGGUUUGGUAAGUCGGGUGUGAAAACUCAGGGCUCAACCCUGAGACGCCACUCGAUACUGCCAUGACUAGAGUCCGGUAGGGGAGUGUGGAAUUCCUGGUGUAGCGGUGAAAUGCGCAGAUAUCAGGAGGAACACCGACAGCGAAGGCAGCACUCUGGGCCGGUACUGACGCUGAGGAGCGAAAGCAUGGGGAGCAAACAGGAUUAGAUACCCUGGUAGUCCAUGCCGUAAACGUUGGGCACUAGGUGUGGGUCCCAUCCAACGGGAUCCGUGCCGCAGCUAACGCAUUAAGUGCCCCGCCUGGGGAGUACGG
rnacentral:rRNA from 1 species